rnacentral:rRNA from 1 species
GAUGAACGCUGGCGGCGUGCCUAAUACAUGCAAGUCAAGCGAACGGACGAGAAGCUUGCUUCUCUGAUGUUAGCGGCGGACGGGUGAGUAACACGUGGAUAACCUACCUAUAAGACUGGGAUAACUUCGGGAAACCGGAGCUAAUACCGGAUAAUAUUUUGAACCGCAUGGUUCAAAAGUGAAAGACGGUCUUGCUGUCACUUAUAGAUGGAUCCGCGCUGCAUUAGCUAGUUGGUAAGGUAACGGCUUACCAAGGCAACGAUGCAUAGCCGACCUGAGAGGGUGAUCGGCCACACUGGAACUGAGACACGGUCCAGACUCCUACGGGAGGCAGCAGUAGGGAAUCUUCCGCAAUGGGCGAAAGCCUGACGGAGCAACGCCGCGUGAGUGAUGAAGGUCUUCGGAUCGUAAAACUCUGUUAUUAGGGAAGAACAUAUGUGUAAGUAGCUGUGCACAUCUUGACGGUACCUAAUCAGAAAGCCACGGCUAACUACGUG